GAAAUAGUUAAAGGCCCUGCCUAGUUCAUGGUGGUGUUUGAAAGCUUAUUGAGGACAUAUGAACACUUGGAAGUGAGGUUGCAAUAUCAAGAGAAUUAAGUGCACCCAUCUGCACGUAAAGGUACUGGGGAGGCUGUUGCCUACGUUAGAGACCCCCUGAACUAUGGCCGUGAGAUCUGCUCCAAUUAUAAGUUACAGUUCCUUGAAAAUCCUCUCCUUUCCCUGCAGGUGGCUUCACAAACACUUCCAGCAGGUCCUGGCUCUAGAAUUUGCUGUGGAGGUUAUCAACUGGGGCCCUGAUCUUUGCCCAGCAAUGCCUACCACAGUGAUGAGAAGACUCUGGAAAGCUUUGUGAGGUGGCGGUUUGGAAGGGAUGGGACGUCAGAUUACAGACGUCAGAGGCAGACCAUGAGUCUGGAUCUGUUACUGUAGGUGCCAUCUUGCCCCCUCUGUCCAGAUGGGGCACUUCUUGAGCUCUACAAGUUUCCCCAGAUCAACUAUGGCCCCUUCGAUCUCACUUUGAGUGACAAAGUCCAGUACCUAUCCCCUUAUCCGAUGGCCCCCAAAGAUGACUCCUUGCCCCAGGCCAUGGGACAACUGAUGCUACAUUUUGGAUGGACCUGGGUGGGACUUGCUGCUUCAGAUUAUAUGUGAGCUGAAUUGUUUCCCUGACUGGAGAGGAGAAAUGGUCAAGAAAGGGAUCUGUGUUGCCUUUUCAGAGACUAUCUCUCUCAGUGAGAAAUACCACAAGGAAGCCUUUGAUAAUCCAUUGAUCAGAGUAGCAUAACCAACAGCUACAGUGGUUGUCAUUCAUAGAGAUACAGAUUCCCUGGUGACCAUGAGACCUCCACGGCCCAGGAUGCAAGAAUAGCAAAGGUGUGGAUCAUCUCCCCUUACUGGGAUGUUAUUCUGAGGCCCAUGUUUCAGAAUGGUUAUGGUUUUUAUGGGUCUGUGAUAUUUUCUCAUCAAAGAAGAGAUCAUCCUGAAUUUGGGACAUUCCUCAGGAGAGUCCAAUCUUCUACAUACCCAGGGAACAUUUUUCAUAAGAGUUUCUGGCACUCAGCUUUUGAGUGCUCAGAGGUUGGUGGUACCACUGGAACAAUACAAAUGAUCCCAGAAUGCUUUUUGGACAUGCUUCCCCUACAGUAUUUUGAAGUGACCAUGUCUGCACAUAGUUACAUUGUCUACAGUGCUGUGCAUGCUGUGGCCUGGGCUCUGCCUGGCAUGUUCCUGAUCAGAUCAGAAGCAGGAUCAAUAGAAGGCAGAGCCCCUGUGGUGUCUAAUCUCUGGAAGAUAAGAUUUCCUCUGAAAGGAAAUGCUUCACUCCGUGUCCACUUGACAGCUUCAGGUCAGGCUGAAUUUCCUCCUGAUAUCUUGGUUGCAGCUACACAUCUCUCAAUCCCUGAAUUUUUUUGAGCACAAUUUUGCUGUGAGGCCUUUGUUCCUCCUGGGUGGGGUGCUCAUGGCCCAUCGCCCACCAGUGCCAUUCAUCCAGCUGGUCCUUCCUGUCACCAGAUUCAUCACCUGAUGCCUCCUCACACGUAAGUACUGGUAUUCUGUCUUCCACCUGCCCCAAUGCCUGGGACAGUUCAACUUAACUUCCUGGCCAGCUCUAGCUCUGUCCCUGGUCUAUAAACUCAGCAAAAUCAUCCAUCCUGGCUGUAAGGGAAUUCAGCUUUCGAAAAGCUUCCCAGGCCUGACUCAACCAUGGAAUCAGCUGGAAGGCAUUUGAAAGGUCAGUCCCUGUGGUUACAGCUUAAUCAUCCUGGGCUGGGUCCGGGCGCGGAGAGCUGUCUGGGAGAUUGUCAAGGCACCACCUGGGCUGAGAUCUGCUGCCCACCCCGCCCCCCCCCCCCCCCCCCUCCCCGAGGAACAUGGUGCACUCGGCCAUGAGCUGCACCUGAGAGCAGGGCGUCUGUGGUCCUUCCCACCUCCUGGUGUACCAGCGAGGGGAGAGACUCUAGUAAGGUCUCAGGUGGUUCUCAUGCACAAGGGGGCGGAGUAGCUCCUCUUAAAAAGGGUUGGAUGGGCGGGUGCUUUGCUUUUCGUCUGAAGAGGGGGUGGGUAGUUCUCGGAAGCUCUCUGGGGCUGAAGACUCGGGCCUGAUCUAAGGGGUUUUUCUGAAGUUUCAGACUUUCAGAAGGGGUUUCUGGCUUUCCAAAGAACUGAUUUCACACAACUUUAGGGCUGCUUUUCUUUCCAAGGAUAAAGAAGCACAGGUGUUGAAUCUUAAAUCUUUUCAGCCUUAGGGAAAAUCUAACUUAAGGAAAAUUGUUUCACCCUUUCAUUACAAAAUGUUGAGUUAUGAAAGUCUUUGGAUGAAUUUCUUGAAACAGGGAAAAUGCUGGGAGGAAAAGUAGUUGAGGUUAACAAGAGAGUAAGGUAGUCUUGAGUGCUGGCGUGUAGGGAAAGGCUU
rnacentral:lncRNA from 1 species